GGGUGUCGAGCUCAGUGGUAGAGUCCAUGCUUAGCAUGCACGAGGUCCUGGGUUCAAUCCCCAGUACCUCCA
rnacentral:tRNA from 1 species